CAGUAGCCACGGUAAUACGUAGGGUGCAAGCGUUAAUCUGAAUUACUGGGCGUAAAGCGUGCGCAGGCGGUCCGUUAAGACAGAUGUGAAGUCCCCGGGCUUAACCUGGGAACUGCAUUUGUGACUGGCGGGCUAGAGUAUGGCAGAGGAGGGUAGAAUUCCACGUGUAGCAGUGAAAUGCGUAGAGAUGUGGAGGAAUACCGAUGGCGAAGGCAGCCCCAUGGGCCAAUACUGACGCUCAUGCACGAAAGCGUGGGGAGCAAACAGGAUUAGAUACCCCCGUAGUCCCUGUCUCUUAUAC
rnacentral:rRNA from 1 species